AACGAACGCUGGCGGCAUGCCUAACACAUGCAAGUCGAACGAGACCUUCGGGUCUAGUGGCGCACGGGUGUGUCACGCGUGGGAACCUUCCCUUAGGUUCGGAAUAACUCCCCGACAGGGGUGCUAAUACCGGAUAAUGUCUUCGGACCAAAGAUUUAUCGCCUUUGGAUGGGCCCGCGUUGGAUUAGCUAGUUGGUAGGGUAAAAGCCUACCAAGGCGUCGAUCCAUAGCUGGUCUGAGAGGAUGAUCAGCCACACUGGGACGGAGACACGGCCCAGACUCCUACGGGAGGCAGCAGUGGGGAAUAUUGGACAAUGGGCGAAAGGCUGAUCCAGCAAUGCCGCGUGAGUGAUGAAGGCCUUAGGGUUGUAAAGCUCUUUUACCCGGGAUGAUAAUGACAGUACCGGGAGAAUAAGCUCCGGCUAACUCCGUG
rnacentral:rRNA from 1 species